rnacentral:rRNA from 1 species
AACGAACGCUGGCGGCAUGCCUAACACAUGCAAGUCGAACGAGACCUUCGGGUCUAGUUGCGCACGGGUGCGUAACGCGUGGGAACCUGCCCUUAGGUUCGGAAUAACUCCCCGAAAGGGGUGCUAAUACCGGAUAAUGUCUUCGGACCAAAGAUUUAUCGCCUUUGGAUGGGCCCGCGUUGGAUUAGCCAGUUGGUAGGGUAAAAGCCUACCAAGGCGUCGAUCCAUAGCUGGUCUGAGAGGAUGAUCAGCCACACUGGGACUGAGACACGGCCCAGACUCCUACGGGAGGCAGCAGUGGGGAAUAUUGGACAAUGGGCGAAAGCCUGAUCCAGCAAUGCCGCGUGAGUGAUGAAGGCCUUAGGGUUGUAAAGCUCUUUUACCCGGGAUGAUAAUGACAGUACCGGGAGAAUAAGCUCCGGCUAACUCCGUG